ensembl:lncRNA
UUGCGCAUAAGGGUUGCUGGUGUCAUAUAUUAACACUUUGAGGGCGAAUAAUUUUGAUUGAGUGUCAACGCUUGAGAACGCGAGGACAGCGUCUAAAGUGCUGGGUUAAACUUUGUGUAUCACCGAGCAGGGGAAGACGAGCCAGUGGUUGCGAGAACAGCGAGACGAAGACUGAAACCGAAAGUUAAGCGUGUCUGGGUGACCUAGACCAAGAAGGUGGAGUCGACCAACGCCAUUGGAAGAGGUUUCACCCCUUAUGAGCUGCUGACUGGGAGACAGUUUCCAGCACCCUGGACAGUGGUCCCGGUGGAGCAGCCCAGGACAAGCAACAGGUCUCAUGCAGAAUAUUUUAAUGAGUUGAAAGCUCUUGUGUCCAGCUUUACAAAACAGGUCACUUGUGAGAGACCCACGGGGAACGGAGAGGUCCCGGACGCAAAGGCAGUGUGGCUGAAGGUCAUUAAGCGAAAGUGGAAGGAGCCCCGCUGGACUGGUCCGUAUGAGGUGACCGCCC